AACGCACCUUGCGCUCCUUGGUAUUCCUUGGAGCAUGCCUGUUUGAGUAUCAUGAAAUUAUCAAAACACACUUUUUGUUAAUUCAACUGGUUUUGUUUUGGACUUGGAGGUCUUGCGGAUUCACGUCUGCUCCUCUUAAAAAUAUUAGCUGGAUCUCAGUGAACUCGGUUCCACUCGGCGUGAUAAGUAUCACUCGCUGAGGACACCCGUAAAAAAGGUGGCCGCGAUUGCAGAUGAACCGCUUCUAAUAGUCUAUUAAAUUGGACAGCAUACUUUAUGAUCUGAUCUCAAAUCAGGUAGGACUACCCGCUGAACUUAA
rnacentral:misc_RNA from 1 species